UUGAUUGAAAAAGCCAGAAACUCUCCCUUCUAAGAAAAUGUCAUGGUAUUUUACUUAAUAGAUUUAACAGUUAUUAUUUCAAUUAAGACUAAAAUUUUUAAAUUUGUAAAAUAUAAAGACUAAAAAUAAUUAAAAUAGAAAAUAGAUAUUAAAUUAGCUAUAUUUAAUUGUUAAAGAUUGAAAUUUUAAAAAUAUAAAGUUUAAAAUUGAUCGAUUACAGUAUCGAAGUUAAAUCUAUUAUUGAUACAACAAGCCUAAGGUGAGACAAAGGCUGUGCACGUGGGAAAGUGACGUGAUAGGUGGGG
rnacentral:lncRNA from 1 species